rnacentral:sRNA from 1 species
AGAGCCGUGCUUUAAGGAGUUUGUCAUAUAGGAGGGACAGUCAGGUUUUGCUGCAUGAAAGGAGUUUGGGGUUAGACAUACCGUAUUUGGUCAUAGGCAGCUUUUUAAAUACUAAGUUAAUGUCUGUAAGCUGAAGACCUGGGAUGCAAAACAUAAAAGUUAAAAAAAAAAAUACUGAGUUAAUGGAAAGAGAGAAUGCUAAUGAGUCUUCACUAAGCCACUUUUAAUUGUUGGAUUUUCUGCUUGGAUUUGUGGUAGAUAUUCUCCCACAUAGAUGCUUAUAUGUUUUCUACCAGACUGUGAUCUUCCUAACAGCAAAAGCCACUCAUGUUUGUCUCUCCAGAAUCCUUUUCCCUGGAGGAAGUGUUGACCUCAGACGCUCAGAUUAUGCUAAAGUGGCCAAAAUAUUUUAUAA